AACGACUCUCGGCAACGGAUAUCUAGGCUCUCGCAUCGAUGAAGAACGUAGCAAACUGCGAUACUUGGUGUGAAUUGCAGAAUCCCGUGAACCAUCGAGUCUUUGAACGCAAGUUGCGCCCGAAGCCGUUAGGCGGAGGGCACGUCUGCCUGGGCGUCACGCGCAGCGUCGCCCCCUCCAAGGCCUUGC
rnacentral:rRNA from 1 species